ACAGAUGUGAAAAAAAGGAUGACCAGGAAUUAUUUGUAACAAUGAUAUGACAUGGACAAAAGCCUUGGUUUUUUAUUGAACAAGUAGAGAUAUGCCUGGAUAUUUUAAAGUUUAUCAAGUCUGGACAGACACCAGUGCCAUUACAAUGCAAAAUGACAACAGAGAGUGCUGAAUAUUCAAGUCUAACAAAAACUGAAUAAAAAGUAAUGUUUUGAUACAUAAAAAUGUGCUAGCAACUCAUCAAACUGGUACAGUUUAAACUAACAGAGAGUCGUGUUAAAAAUCGAAUAUUAUUGUACUAACUGGAACAACUGCUUUGAGUGGCAGACAGACAGAGAUAAAAAUGUUGCAACAAUAAAUUGGCUGAUUAUAAAAAGAAAACACAAGUAAUGAAAAUGAUGCUGAUUGUGAUAUAAGGUAUGUUGGUUUUAGUUUAUCUCCGACAAAUUCAGCGGAUUUAAUAUGAAAUACGUCUAAUCAGUAAAUAGUUAUUGAAAUCUGAUUGAGUAUUUCAUAUUAAAUGCUGGUGCAACUAAACCACAGAAAUCAAAGAUCACAAACGUUAUGUUGCAUUGAAAAAAAACAAUAAUAAUAAAUACUAAAGAAAUAGUUUUAAAUUGAAACUUCAGUAUCUUGCGUUAUUUACUGAAGUCUAAGAGCUCAUUAUGACAGUGUUGUUACAUUAAGUAAUUUUCUUAAAUGUACGAUUAACUUGUCCGAGUUUAAAAAAAUGCGUAACGCGAUAAAUUUAUAAUUAUUUAUUAUAAAUUCGCGAAAGAAAAACCGAACCGAUAAAAAUGAAAAGAGAAGAACAAAGAGAGAAGAAAGUGUUACUUGAAAAGGAAAAUAUUCAUAGAAGAAUGAGAAGAUUACUCGAGCCAUGAUAAGGAUGCCAAAAACUGGAGUGUCAAGCCAAGGUGAAGGUGCUGAUGCAAUGAAAAAUUUCUAUGUAAACACCAACUACAGAAAAAUGGAUGCCAAUAUCAGAGACGAGGAAAUAUUAGCCAAGAAACAUCAACAAGGCAAGACAGUAUGCAGGCACUAAGAAACCAUCUGCUAGAUGUUGAUGACAUGAGGCAUCCUGCUGCUUCAACCCCUCAACCAAAUUUAUCCCUGGAUUUAAUGAAGCCCAGCUGAAUACAUCUAUCUACAUACUACAAUUGAAAUAAAUAAAUAAAAUUAUUU